rnacentral:rRNA from 1 species
UACGUAGGGCGCAAGCGUUGUCCGGAAUUAUUGGGCGUAAAGAGCUCGUAGGCGGUCUGUCGCGUCUGCUGUGAAAACCCGAGGCUCAACCUCGGGCCUGCAGUGGGUACGGGCAGACUAGAGUGCGGUAGGGGAGAAUGGAAUUCCUGGUGUAGCGGUGGAAUGCGCAGAUAUCAGGAGGAACACCGAUGGCGAAGGCAGUUCUCUGGGCCGUAACUGACGCUGAGGAGCGAAAGCGUGGGGAGCGAACAGG